rnacentral:rRNA from 1 species
CCUACGGGGGGCAGCAGUGGGGAAUAUUGCGCAAUGGGCGAAAGCCUGACGCAGCGACGCCGCGUGAGGGAUGAAGGUCUUCGGAUCGUAAACCUCUGUCAGCAGGGAAGAACGGUCACUGUGCUAAUCAGCAGUGAAUUGACGGUACCUGCAAAGGAAGCACCGGCUAACUCCGUGCCAGCAGCCGCGGUAAUACGGAGGGUGCGAGCGUGAAUCGGAAUUACUGGGCGUAAAGCGCUCGUAGGCGGUAUGUCAAGUCAAGGGUGAAAUCCCCGGGCUCAACGUGGGAACUGCCUUUGAAACUGGCAAACUGGAGUGUGUGAGAGGAGAGUGGAAUUCCAGGUGUAGGAGUGAAAUGCGUAGAUAUCUGGAGGAACAUCAGUGGCGAAGGCGACUAUCUGGCACAUAACUGACGCUGAGGAGCGAAAGCGUGGGUAGCAAACAGGAUUAGAUACCCGUGUAGUC